rnacentral:tRNA from 1 species
GAAAAGAUAAGCUAAGUUUAAGCUUAUGGGCUCAUACCCCGUCUAUGAAAAUUAUAUUUCUCUUUUUA